rnacentral:misc_RNA from 1 species
AUUUGGGUUAGUUUUGCUUGCGUGGGUUUUCUGUUCCUUGUUUUUAUUUUGCUUUUUUUUUGGCCGAUUAUUAAUCUUUGUUUUAAGUUUAAAUAUGGUUUAUUUGCUUUGUGUAAGUUAAUUUUAUGAAAUCGUUUAUAUUUAGGAUAACCCUAUUGCUGUGUUUUCUCUGACAUCACGCUGUUUUAGGGGCCUCUAUUUUAAUAAUCCUUUUGUUAUUAAGAUUAUUCUGUGCUUUAAUUUGGUAUAGCUGUUGCGUUUUAAGUGCUUUUUGUGACCCUUGAUUGUAUUUUGAGAAGUGCAGACUUUGAUUAGUUUUUGUUGUGAUUCAGAAAUCAGAAGUGUUUUGUCUUGUUGGGAAUGCCGUAUCCUGAACUUCAGUGAACCUAAAAUCUGCAUUAAGUUGAAUUAUUGAUGAUAACAUGUUUAUGCUGAGGCCAUUUCGUGUUUUGGUUAUGUUUAUAUUACUUCAACUGGAGCAAUUUUUCUUUUUUUGGAUUGUAUGUUUUCUGGUGAGCUGUGGCUGUCCCUAAUAAAGCCAUCUAAAUUUGGAUUGGUUUUCUGCAAACAGAAGCUGGACAUUUUAACUUACCUGGUAUUUUAGUUGUUUAUUUCAUCAUUUAUUUAGUUUAGAAAGUUGUCUUCUUAACUUGACUGAAACAGAUUUGCAUUAAGAUGAACUAUUGAGAUUAACUCUAUUUAUGCUAAGGUUUUGGCUUUCGGGUAUGAUUGUACAGGUCAAAUUGUAAUAUGUGAGCUGGUCAUGCUUAUAUAUGAGUAUUUUUUUUGAUGGUCCAUGUUUAUGUUUUGAUGAGACAAUGAUGAACCCAUCAGGAUUUAUGGUGUUUUAUGAUGCCUGUGAUUUGUGGAGUGGUCUCAGUUUUUUAGGAUGGACUUUUGAAGUGGGAUUAUGAUCGACCAAUUCUGUUUGUUAUUGUUUACUUUUGUAGUUUCAAGUUUGUGGCUAGUGGAUAUACAAAGUUACAAACCCCUCCUGUUUUUGCAUGCUCUAUGUGAAGUGUGAACCCAAUUUGGUGUUGAUUAGUGGACUGCUUAACCCUUUUGGUUUUCUUUUUGUUUGGUUUGCAUUGCUAUAAGACCUCACUGAUUAAUAGAUGCUGUGGACAUUGACUUAAGUGCUUACUUGGAAUACUAUCAGUUAUUAGUUGAACUCAAUUUUGUAUUCUCAUGGACUUGUUGAAAGUGGCAUUCUUUGCAUUAGUUGUAGUUUUCUAUUGUGGUUUUAUUUGCUUUGUGAUCUGCAUUAACUUCAUUAGUUAAUUGGGAACUUGCCUAUAAAAAUAUUUUGUAUCUAUAUUUUGAAUGGAUCGAAUGGCUUGAGCUAAAGGUUUAUUUUGUGAAUCUCAGUUUACAAGUAUUAUGAGUUAUAGGAAACAAUAUUUUAACAGCAUACAAUAUACUCAUGUUUUGACUUUUAAUGCUGGGUUCAUUUCUGUAUUGGGGACUAGAUAAAGUC